rnacentral:rRNA from 1 species
CAGCCGCCGCGGGAACACGUAGGUGGCAAGCGUUGUCCGGAAUUAUUGGGCGUAAAGCGCGCGCAGGCGGAUAGGUCAGUCUGUCUUAAAAGUUCGGGGCUUAACCCCGUGAUGGGAUGGAAACUGCCAAUCUAGAGUAUCGGAGAGGAAAGUGGAAUUCCUAGUGUAGCGGUGAAAUGCGUAGAUAUUAGGAAGAACACCAGUGGCGAAGGCGACUUUCUGGACGAAAACUGACGCUGAGGCGCGAAAGCCAGGGGAGCGAACGGGAUUAGAUACCCCAGUAGUCCCUGUCUCUUAUACA